GACGAACGCUGGCGGCGUGCUUAACACAUGCAAGUCGAGCGGUAAGGCCCUUUCGGGGGUACACGAGCGGCGAACGGGUGAGUAACACGUGGGUGACCUGCCCUCAGCUCUGGGAUAAGCCUGGGAAACCGGGUCUAAUACUGGAUAUGACUCCAUGACGCAUGUUGGUGGGGUGGAAAGCCUUGUGCGGCUGAGGAUGGGCCCGCGGCCUAUCAGCUUGUUGGUGGGGGAUGGCCUACCAAGGCGACGACGGGUAGCCGGCCUGAGAGGGCGGACCGGCCACACUGGGACUGAGACACGGCCCAGACUCCUACGGGAGGCAGCAGUGGGGAAUCUUGCGCAAUGGGCGAAAGCCUGACGCAGCGACGCCGCGUGAGGGAUGACGGCCUGGUGU
rnacentral:rRNA from 1 species